GAGGGUAUAGCUCAGAGUGCUAGAGCACGUGCUUAGCAUGCACGAGGUCCUGGGUUCAUUCCCCAGUACCUCCU
rnacentral:tRNA from 1 species